CUUUCGAAGCUGUUUUAAAAUUAAAUAAUUUUUUUUAAAACAUAAAAAAAAACUUUUAGAAAACCCAAAGCCUUUUCCUUUAACCCUUUCUGCUAGGGUUUCAUUCCAAAAACAUGCAGCCGCCGAACCACCAUCGUAUGGUGGCUGAUGAUGCACAGGCGAAGGCCGAUUUCGCCAAUGGAGGAGAACUCCGACUUUGCCCACGGAGGUUUGGUAUAGCGGACAUGGCUUGGACGUGGUACGUGGGGAUGUGUGUGGUGAACGGUGGUGGAGGAUGUGGGUAGUGCGUGGAGGUGGAAGCGGCGCCGGCCAAAGGGAGAGCCUCAAUAUUAGAGUUUGUUAUUCCUGAAAAAAUUUGGGGCUAUUGAGCUUGUGUAAUUGGGCUAAAAUUAUAUUUUGGGCCAGCAUUUAAACUUGAGUUUUAAAAUUUGUAUUGGACUGUUGUUAUUUAUUUUUAGUUUUUUUUUGUUUUGUAUGUAUAUGGGCCCGGACUAAAAUUGGAUAUUACAAUUUUUAUCAUGCAUUUAUUAUCGCUA